UUAGCUCUUGUCUGCUGGACAACAGUCUUCCUCCUCCAGUGUUCAAAAGGAACUACAGAUGCUCCUGUUGGCUCAGGACUGUGACUGUGCCAGCCGGCGCCCAGGUGUGGGAACAAGAUCUAUAACCCUUCAGAGCAGUGCUGUUAUGAUGAUGCCAUCUUGUCCUUAAAGGAGACCCGCCGCUGUGGCUCCACCUGCACCUUCUGGCCCUGCUUUGAGCUCUGCUGUCCCAAGUCUUUUGGCCCCCAGCAGAAGUUUCUUGUGAAGUUGAGGGUUCUGGGUAUGAAGUCUCAGUGUCACUUAUCUCCCAUCUCCCGGAGCUGUACCAGGUGAAUUUUAAAUUCUAUCUGAAAUCAGUAAGAUACCUUGAGAAAAACUGCAGUGAGAGGAGAGACAGGAUUUCAUCAUGUUACCCAGACUGGAUUCAAACCCCUGAGCUCAAGCAAUUUGCCUGCCUUGACCUCCCAAAGUGCUGGGACUAUAGGAGUGAGCCACCAGUAUAGUGGUGCCUGGAACUUUCUAAGCACUGAAAAAUGUACAUGUUCCAUCAAAUGUGUAUCUUGCAUGCAAGUAAAUUAUUUUAAAAAGGGCUAUAAAUUGGAUAUGAAUUAAAAAUAAACCUAAGGCUUCUUAAGUUUAUUUUUUUAAUUUUUAACUUUAAAUUGACAAAUUAUAGUUGUAUUUAUGGGGUGCAGCAUGACUGAUGAAUUCAAUGUGGAAUAAUUAAACUCAAGGAAAUUAACAUAUCUAUUACCUUCAAUAUUUCUCAUUUUUUUGUGGUAAGAACACUUGAAAUUUACUCUCUUACUAGUUCUGAAAUAGACAAUACAUUGUUUUUUUACUGUAUGCAUCAUGCUAUGCAAUAACCAAAUUAUAGAAGUUCAUAAUAUCUGUAUCUCCUUGGUAAAUUUCUCAUUCAUAUCCCAAGCUGAAUUUCUGAUUUCUCUGUAUUGGUUUUCAGAUUUCUAUUGCAUUGCAUUUUCUUUAAGAUCAGUAUUUUUAAUUCUUUAUCUGGCAUUUUGAGGAAUUCUUUGUUAUUGGGAUCUGUUGCUGGAAAAUUGUUAUGAUCUUUCAUGUGGUACCCUAUCUUCCUGCUUUUUCAUGGUGACUGUGUCCUUCUGUUGACAUCUACACAUCUGGUGCAGCAGUCAAGUCUGUUAAAGUCAAGUUUGUUAAAAUUGCUUUUGUAGGGGAUAAUUUUUUCCUGAGGAUAUAUGUUGUUAAGACACUUUGAUUUGGGGCACUGUGAUAGGAACAGGAGGCAGGGAAAUUCUAGGCAGAAAAGGGCAGGGUCCCUGGUAAGAGACCCACCCUCGAGGCUGGAACCAUGGCCCAGAGGGGGAACUUUACAUCCCCGUUUUCCUGCUCAAAUGUUGCCUUUUCCAAAACCACCCCUGGCCUGCAACCCCCCCACAUCCUGUACCCAUAAAAACCCCAGCCUCCACUGGCAGACAGCAGACAAGGGGAGAAGAGGCGAAGCAGCUGGACAUCGGAGACUACAGUUGAACUUCAGAGAGAAGCAACUUGACUUCAGAGGGAUGGCUCGAUGGCAUAGCUUUGGAGAGGAGCCCAGCUGGGGAUGGCCAGACUUCAGGGGAAGAAUACCUUCCUGCUUCAUCCCCUUUCCAGCUCCCCUUCCCGCUGAGAGCCACUUUCAUUGGCAAUAAAAUCCCCCACAUUUACCAUCUUCAA